rnacentral:misc_RNA from 1 species
CCUUAACGAUAGAUUGCGAUUUAUGAGUGUUCACACAGAUUGAUUAGGUUUUAAUAAGUUGAAGUGACAGAGCUUUAAUUAAUGAUUUCGAUUAUUGAUUAAAGCUUUUUGCUUUAAGCUCUUUAACAAUUUGGAAAGCUGACUGAUUUAACUAACUUACGAGUUAGAUAAAUCAAAAUUUAAAAGUUCUUAAUAUCUUUUGUUUAUCUUUAGAUAAACAAAUUAAAAACACAUUCAAGUGUUCUUGUAUUUUGAAUCCGGCGAAAAACCAGAACUCUCAAUGAAGAGUUCAACCUUGGUUGUUUAUGCCAUACGAAACCUCUUGGGGUUGUAU